rnacentral:rRNA from 1 species
GUCCACGCCGUAAACGAUGUCUACUAGCCGUUGGAGUCCUUGAGGCUUUAGUGGCGCAGCUAACGCACUAAGUAGACCGCCUGGGGAGUACGGUCGCAAGAUUAAAACUCAAAUGAAUUGACGGGGGCCCGCACAAGCGGUGGAGCAUGUGGUUUAAUUCGACGCAACGCGAAGAACCUUACCAGGUCUUGACAUCCAGAGAACUUUCCAGAGAUGGAUUGGUGCCUUCGGGAACUCUGAGACAGGUGCUGCAUGGCUGUCGU